UCUGAUUCUUCAGCGUCAUCCGCGGAGACCCCCUGCGUAGACGUCUCUCCACCCAUAAGUUCAGGUCACCUGCCAGUCUACUUUACAGAACACAUGAGCAACGUGGAUUCAAGAAACCGGGGCACUAUCGGGAGAAGAGCGUGUGUAGUGUGCAAAAAGAAGUCUCCGAUCUAUUGCAGGACUUGCCUCAAAACGUUGUGUUUAAAUACUUCAAGGAACUGCUACAGCGAGUGGCACAGAGACAAUGGUAUCUGUGCCUGACUGGAUUUAGCUUCUUUAAUUCAAGUUGCAACGACUCCAGCGAUGCGGCUCAAGUUGAGGAGGCACGAGCACAGACUGCAGUCAGCCAUGCAAAGCUUUUAAAAGGUGCUUUUACAACAUAGUGUUACUGUAUGCCUCCUGGUUUUUAGACUUGAUGAAAGCAUCUCUACACUGUACAUGUGCAUGGGUAUUAACCACAGUGAAACUCAUGGUUUUUACUUGCUGUGUAGAAGUUGCAGUGAACACUUGAAGAAUCAGGAAGGCUUUGACUGUGCUAUUUCUUUUGUAACAUGCUUGACACUGAUUUCACAGAGACCACUACCUUACAAACUUUACAAAUGUUGGUCCAUAUUAUGCAUAGUGUGAUAUAAAUGCAUACACUGUUUGUCUAGUCUUAGUCUAUGUAUUGUCGUAUUCUCCUCUCUUGUUAUGUGAUUGAGUUUUUAUAAAUUAAUAGAUUUCUUAUAAAGAGGUUGAACCUUUUGGCACUUCAUUCAGACUUGAAACAGUACUGAAGCAAAUAUCAGCACUGCCAUGGACCUCAGUACUUCUGAUCAACUUCAUUACCUCUUUAAGUCUUCCAAACUUCUUUUUUUAAGUUAUAUUUUUGGCCUUUUGCUUUUAUUUUAUAGGACAGCUGAAGAGAGACAGGAAAUGUGGGGAGUAGAGAGCAGGGGAAGACAUGCAGGAAAGGGUCGCACCGCCAGGAAUCGAACCGGCGACCCCUGCAGCUUAGACCCCUAGGCCACCAGUGCCCCUUAAGUGUCUCUCUUUUUAACCAACACUGUAACUAUAACAUUGUCUUACAUGUUGAAUGUAUUUUUAUGUAGAAACGACGGUCUUCUUGUGCACGUUUUGUAAAAAUAAAGCACGGUCUAAGAAAGAAA